rnacentral:rRNA from 1 species
CAGCAGCAGCCGCGGGAAUACAGAGGGUGCGAGCGUUAAUCGGAUUUACUGGGCGUAAAGCGUGCGUAGGCGGCUUCUUAAGUCGGAUGUGAAAUCCCUGAGCUUAACUUAGGAAUUGCAUUCGAUACUGGGAAGCUAGAGUAUGGGAGAGGAUGGUAGAAUUCCAGGUGUAGCGGUGAAAUGCGUAGAGAUCUGGAGGAAUACCGAUGGCGAAGGCAGCCAUCUGGCCUAAUACUGACGCUGAGGUACGAAAGCAUGGGGAGCAAACAGGAUUAGAUACCCCUGUAGUCCCUGUCUCUUAUAC